rnacentral:lncRNA from 1 species
AACCCAAUAAUCAAGUAAUAAGUGUUGGACUCUCGAUAAACUUGAUAAACUUAAAUUAUUAAUUUAACUCUUUUUAACUUUUGCACUCUAUAGUAGAUAAUGGAAAGAAUGGUUUUUUAACAAUGAUCUACGAUACAAAACCGACAUUUCGCGACAUUUUCUAAACGACACUCGUCACGCGAAGAAAUGCAUUUCAUUCCGACGAUAUGAAACAGGGACUGGAUAAAAGAAUGACAAUUUUCUUGCCCGUUGAAAAGGUCAGUUUCAGCCUGGGGAGUUCGCAGAUGAAACUUAGGUGUAUUGACAUUUCAAUCUUCCGUUUAGAUACACGAAUAAAAUAAUAACGCUGAAGAAUACACGAGGGUCAUUCAGUUACUAAAAAGGCAAACAGUUGUACUUCAAAAACUUUGCGACACUUUCUGAAGCACGAGAUGGUCUUUUUAUCAUAGAUUAAAACUACAAAUUUCAGCACUAUUAGUGUUUAAAUAGUCUCUAUUAAAUGAUGAAAUAUAAAGAAUCAAUGAAUGAUAAUGUCUGAAAAACAUUGAGUGAUUCUCCGAUGACAUCACUAUAUUGAAAUAGCAACUCGUAAUCGAGUAACGACCUUACGUUGCUGUUGAUCCUAUUGAAAGCGAAUGAAUCGUGUGAAACUGGAAAGAGAGUAUCAGUUUCAAGGUAAAGGAAAAAUUAACUCCUUUCUCCCGUUCCAACACCGACACAAGAUCGGAAUAAAAAUUUAUCUAAUGAUGACACGUCAAGUUUGAGUGUCUAUCUGUUGACCAUUCUAUUACCACGCGUAGUUUAAUAUUCUUAUUAAUUAUCGGAGUGUUAUCAACGGUGGCACAUAUGCUACAUCGGUCCACGAUGCGUCAUAAUAAAUGUAUCGUAAAUAACGUUUCUACGUCGUUUUCGACAAAUACCAGCUUAUUUUCUCGAAUUAGAAAAAUAUCUCGUUGAUGACACCCGACAGAGUUUCACCGUUGGUGGUGAUUCGGAAAAGGAACAAAUUUUUGUUGUGAACAAGUAUCAUGCAGCGGUCUAAGAAUACGGAUGACGUAAGCAAUGCGUUUCCCACGUUGUUAAAAGGAAAAACGAGCAUUUGUAAAAGUGACUCGCGGUUCGACCAGCAUAUGUAUAUAUAAAUUUGAGGAAAUGUCGCAAAAUUCCAACGUCGAGACGGUGUCGUUCCUAUUUGUAAGGCGUCGUCUAUAAUUAGAGAGAUAGGGCAUCGUUUUCGUUCGAAAAUUGUCCGAAUUUUGUCCAGCGACUGAAUUGCUUUAUAACCACGAGUAAUUCUUUUAUUGUGCACGGUAGUUUCAAGAAUUCGUACUGAUCUUGUGACCGCAAUCGGCGUGAAAAAAAAGAACAGGGAAGAAAUGACUAUGUCGGUGUUUAGUGUAACGCUGUUAUCGCUCGUAUUAUCAUCUUGCACAAGCUGGACAAUGUAAUUAACCGUCCACAGUUUCUAUAAUUAACGAUGCUUCGUGAAAAAAGAAUACAGGACGCAUUUCAACAAACCACGUCACUGAAAGAGAACGGUACUUCGAGCGCAACAGAAGACAGAAAUAAUGAAAUAAUUCAUGAAUUGUUCUGGAACUCGAGAAACGAACACUUGAAUACCGCUGGCAACUAGUCAAACUUUUGGGUGGUGUUCACUAGGAAGAGAAAAUAGUAAACAGUGUGCAGUCUGCGAAUAGAAGAGCGGUUUUUAUAGUAUCAGAAUGUGAGCCGACACGAAAUGAAACAAACUUCGAACGGGAAUUAUGUUAAGAGUACUAAUUACAUCCACGUAUCAAUAUAAAUUUAGUAAAGUGGAUAGCUUACUGUGGUCACUUUACGCGUGAAAAGUUAAGACUUUAUAAUAAAUUCAAUAAUAAUA